rnacentral:rRNA from 1 species
AUUGAACGCUGGCGGCAGGCCUAACACAUGCAAGUCGAACGGCAGCACAGAAGAGCUUGCUCUUUGGGUGGCGAGUGGCGGACGGGUGAGUAAUGUCUGGGAAACUGCCCGAUGGAGGGGGAUAACUACUGGAAACGGUAGCUAAUACCGCAUAACGUCGCGAGACCAAAGUGGGGGACCUUCGGGCCUCACACCAUCGGAUGGGCCCAGAUGGGAUUAGCUAGUAGGUGGGGUAAUGGCUCACCUAGGCGACGAUCCCUAGCUGGUCUGAGAGGAUGACCAGCCACACUGGAACUGAGACACGGUCCAGACUCUUACGGGAGGCAGCAGUGGGGAAUAUUGCACAAUGGGCGCAAGCCUGAUGCAGCCAUGCCGCGUGUAUGAAGAAGGCCUUCGGGUUGUAAAGUACUUUCAGCGGGGAGGAAGGCGGUGAGGUUAAUAACCUCGCCGAUUGACGUUACCCGCAGAAGAAGCACCGGCUAACUCCGUGCCAGCCGCCGCGGUAA